UACGUAGGGUGCGAGCGUUGUCCGGAAUUAUUGGGCGUAAAGAGCUUGUAGGCGGUUUGUCGCGUCUGCUGUGAAAUCUCAAGGCUCAACCUUGAGCUUGCAGUGGGUACGGGCAGACUAGAGUGUGGUAGGGGAGACUGGAAUUCCUGGUGUAGCGGUGAAAUGCGUAGAUAUCAGGAGGAACACCUGUGGUGUAGACAGCUUACUGGACCAUUUCUGACGCUGAGACACGAAAGCGUGGGUAGCAAACAGG
rnacentral:rRNA from 1 species